rnacentral:miRNA from 1 species
CCAGAGCCUUGGGGCUUGGUUGGUGAAAUGGAGAAGUCUGAGCGCCUCUGCCUCCUUGAUCUCCGGCAG